CUGAAGUUUCAACAAUAUAGUCGUGCAAAAUCAUUUCUACAGCAGUAUAUAACAGAGCCCAGUGCCUUUAAUGGAAUUUUAUAGAAGUUACAACAGGUCUCACAAUAACAUGUAGGGGAUUGAAAGCAAUCUCAUUUUAGAUACUUGUCUUAAACCAACCUCAGCUGAGAAUGUGUACAAUUAUGCAUGUAGUAAGACAGGUUUUGAUGCUGAAAACUGAAGCAUAUUAAA